CUCAAUGAUCUAUGCUGGCUCUGGAGGCCUCUUCAAAGCUGAAAUCCACCAUGUAAUGACCGUGGCAUGAACCACAACCGGAAAGAGCAGCAUCUGUGAAUGGUGGAAGACGUGCCUGUUUUCCGCUCUAGGCUCCCUGGAAAAAGGAGCAGAACUCCACUGAGAGACUCCAACGCAUCUAAGCAUUCUCAGCUUCAACCAAACCAGCCACGUCCACGUCCCAAGCCUGGAGUCAGUGCUGGAGGACUGCUUUAGAGGGAGUGUCAACCGAUGUGACUUUGAUGGAACUCUGAAAGAUUGAUGGCAAGCGACGAUAUGUUAACUCAAUAUUCAAGGGAAAGGGAAAGAUAACUUCAUCAACAAAUGCCCAUGUGAGCCUGCAGAUGUGCCCAAGGGAAGCAUUCCAUAAACAAAUGAUUUGCAUAAAAUCAUCUGUGCCUCUUCAAACUCGUGCAGAUAUUCAGUUUGGGCUCUAUUCAAAUUUUAAGCUCAAGUUCCUGCCAAUUUUAUGUUAUCAAACAGGCUUGCUCAUCUUAGUUAGAAGCCUCAUAAAAUUAUCAUCACUUAGAGAUUGCUCACCCUCCCAGGGAGCUACUGAAACUUUAUCCCAAAUCAAAGAUACAUAAAUUGGUUCCAUUUUGCAUUUGGAAUUCUGAGUAAGCAAGGCGAUUCCAGUCUUAUCAUAUCUCAGUAGUUGGCAGUAGAAGAAGCCACAACACUCAUCCAGUCACUGACCUGGCUCCUCAACAUGGCAGACAUUCCUGCAGAAUAAGAAACCCUCCACAGAACUCAGCUUCCUGGGAUCCAGGCAACAACAGAUGCUUUGCAUUUGAGUUACUCCCGUAUGCUGCCUCCUGAAUUAUCAUAUCUAUUCAUUUUCUGCCACACAUUAAAAUUCUGACUUGUACUGAAAACCAUGCUGAUCUGCACAAAACUGUCUAUUUUGUUGCCUUUCACUGAAGGGAUAAUGAUUCUAUACCUAACAGGCAAACUGUCUCAGAGCAUCUUACUUCUCUGCAUUUUUGCCACAGUCACUUCCACUCUUCUCAUUCCCAACGAGAGAGGAAUAAGAUCAUUAGUAGUUUAGUGUUCCACUGGGACCUGAGAAGUAAUAAUAAUAAUAAUAAUAAUAAUA
rnacentral:lncRNA from 1 species